AUUGAACGCUGGCGGCAUGCCUUACACAUGCAAGUCGAACGGCAGCGGACCUUCGGGUGCCGGCGAGUGGCGAACGGGCGAGUAAAGUAUCGGAACGUACCUUUCAGUGGGGGAUAACGUAGUGAAAGUUACGCUAAUACCGCGUAUUCUGUGAGCAGGAAAGCAGGGGAUCGUAAGAACUUGCGCUGAUUGAGCGGCCGAUAUCAGCUUAGCUAGUUGGUGAGGUAAGGCUCACCAAGGCGACGAUCUGUAGCGGGUCUGAGAGGAUGAGCCGCCACACUGGAACUGAGACACGGACCAGACGCCUACGGGAGGCAGCAGUGGGGAAUUUUGGACAAUGGGGGCAACCCUGAUCCAGCCAUGCCGCGUGAGUGAAGAAGGCCUUCGGGUUGUAAAGCUCUUUCGGCCGGAAAGAAAUCGCUUAGGUUAAUACCCUGAGUGGAUGACGGUACCGGAAUAAGAAGCACCGGCUAACUACGUGCCAGCCGCCGCAGUAAAAC
rnacentral:rRNA from 1 species